UACGUAGGGGGCUAGCGUUGUCCGGAAUCAUUGGGCGUAAAGCGCGUGUAGGCGGUCCGGUAAGUCCGCUGUGAAAGUCGGGGGCUCAACCCUCGGAUGCCGGUGGAUACUGUCGGGCUUGAGUACGGAAGAGGCGAGUGGAAUUCCUGGUGUAGCGGUGAAAUGCCCAGAUAUCAGGAGGAACACCAAUUGCGAAGGCAGCUCGCUGGGACGUUACUGACGCUGAGACGCGAAAGCGUGGGGAGCAAACAGG
rnacentral:rRNA from 1 species